CCCUUAGAUGUUCUGGGCUGCACGCGCGCUACACUGAUGCGUUCAACGAGUUUAUGACCUUGCCCGAUAGGGUUGGGUAAUCUUUUUAAAUCGCAUCGUGAUGGGGAUAGAUUAUUGCAAUUAUUAAUCUUCAACGAGGAAUUCCUAGUAAACGCAAGUCAUCAACUUGCAUUGAUUACGUCCCUGCCCUUUGUACACACCGCCCGUCGCACCUACCGAUUGAAUGGUCCGGUGAAGCCUCCGGAUUGGCGCGCACCUCGGUGCCGCCGAGAAGUUGGCUAAACCUUACCAUUUAGAGGAAGGUGAANUCGUANCA
rnacentral:rRNA from 1 species